rnacentral:snRNA from 1 species
GUCUUUUUGAAUACAAAUAUCGUAGCCAAUGAGGUUAAUCUGAGGCGCGAUUAUUGCUAGUUGAAAUCUCUUUAAAUCAAGGAAACUUACCUAGUUUAAUUUUAAAAAUCUGACCUCAGA